rnacentral:rRNA from 1 species
GACGAACGCUGGCGGCGUGCUUAACACAUGCAAGUCGAGCGGUAAGGCCCCUUCGGGGGUACACGAGCGGCGAACGGGUGAGUAACACGUGAGCAAUCUGCCCUUCACUUUGGGAUAACUCUGGGAAACGAGAGCUAAUACCGAAUACGACCACUUCAGGCAUCUGAUGGUGGUGGAAAGUUCCGGCGGUGAAGGAUGAGCUCGCGGCCUAUCAGCUAGUUGGUGGAGUAACGGCCCACCAAGGCUUCGACGGGUAGCCGGCCUGAGAGGGUGACCGGCCACACUGGGACUGAGACACGGCCCAGACUCCUACGGGAGGCAGCAGUGGGGAAUAUUGGACAAUGGGCGAAAGCCUGAUCCAGCAACGCCGCGUGAGGGAUGACGGCCUUCGGUUGUAAACCUACUUUCAGUAGGGACGAAGCGCAAGUGACGGUACCGUACAGAAGAAGCACCGGCCAACUACGUAGCCAGCAG